rnacentral:lncRNA from 1 species
UUUAGACGGAGUCUGGCUCGGUUGCCCAGGCUGGAGUGCAAUGGCGCGAUCUCGGCUCACUGCAAGCUCCGCCUCCCAGGUUCAUGCCAUUCUCCUUCCUCAGCCUCCCGAGUAGCUGGGAUUACAGGCGCCUGCCACCAUGCCCAGCUAAUUUUUGUAUUUUUAGUAGAGACAGGGUUUCACCAUGUUGGCCAGGCUGGUCUCAAACUCCUGACCUCAGGUGAUCUGCCUGCCCUCGGACUCCCAAAGUGCUGGGAUUACAGGCGUGAGCCGCCAAGCCUGGCCUAAAACUUCUUUCAAUGGCACUGACCUUUCUGUGUUGUCACUCAGUCAUAAUAAAAUCCCAGCUACAAUCAGAAUGCUGCAUUCUCCAGCCAUAAAGAUCGCUCCCUCUUCUUUUCAAACAUCCCUGUCCCUCAAGGCCUAGCUCAAGACGGUCACCUUAAGAAAAGCUCCCUUUGUCGAGCAGUGACUCCGUACCAGGCCCUGCUUUAAACGCUUUAUCUGCAUUAUCUUACUUGAUUCUCGCAAUAGCCCUGGGUGGUAGGUGCAAUUAUUAUCUCCAGUUUAUAAAAGACGAUACUGAGGGUCAGAGAAGUUAAGUGACUGGCUCAAGGUGUCACAUUCAGUAAGCGUUAAAGGGGUCUGUGUCGGUCUGUCCUUGAAGAUGCCCCCUACGACUACACUUUCAGUGAUUUCUGCCUUGAACCUGGCCCCAUGACUGAAAACCUCACGUCAAACUCAGGCAGCAAUAAUGGGAAGGCUUGGUGCCCCCCAUCACUGGAGCAACUAGUCUAGCUGGUCACUAAGUGGACAGCCCCUCUGUUUCCCUGCAGUAACUAAUUAGCAGACUAGCACAAAGAUAAAACCCGAAGGCCUUUGUGCAGAAGUUUCAGAGGCAUAAGCAAAGUGAGAGCAUUAGGUUCUGCAUAUCUUUCUUGUUGUUGUUGAGACAGAGUCUCACUCCGUUGCCCAGGCUGGAGUGCAGUGGCACGAUCUUGGCUCACUGCAACCUCCGCCUCCCGGGUUCAAGUGAUUAUUCUGCCUCAGCUUCCCAAGUAACUGGGACUACAGGCGUGCGCCACCACUCCUGGCUAAUUUUUGUAUUUUUAGUAGAGACAGGGUUUCACCAUAUAGGCCAGGCUGGUCUCGAAGUCCUCAACUCGUGAUCCACCCGCCUUAGCCUCACAAAGUGCUGGGAUUACAGGUGUGAGCCACUGCACCUGGUCACAUGUUGUAUUUUAAAAGGGAUUUAAAAGAGUAUCAUUGGAUUGUUUGUAACACGAAGGAUAAAUGCUUGAGGGGAUGGAUACCCAUUCUCCAGCAUGUCAUGAUUACACAUUGCAUGCCUGUAUCAAAACACCUCAUGUACCCCACAAAUAUAUACACCUACUAUGUACCACAAAAAUUAAAUGGUGGGUGAGAAGAAA